rnacentral:lncRNA from 1 species
GAGAAGUUAAUAAUCAACUAAAACCAAAAGUGCACAUUGUGAACGAAAGACAUACAACAAAAGCAUCGCUAGCUAAAACAAACUAGUGCUCCAUUUCUUAUUAAACAGGCAGUGGAAAAGCUCCACUACUAUAUUACAGAUUACAGACAAGACAGAGCAUAUUGUCAUGUCUUUAAUUCAUACAUAGAUUACAUAUCAUCAGUUUGGACUUAGGAAACAGCAACCUUAGACUUCUGGAGAUCAUCCUCCACUUCACCAACAUAUUCAACCACUUUGCUGCCAUAUUCAGAUUCUCCUUCACAAAUAAAAGUUCCAUUAGAACUGAAAUAGUUGCAACCUUUCUUGCCUGCGCAACAAUUAGUGCAUAACCGAUUAUUCUUCUUUUCUUCUGAAAGUGGGCAAAUCCCAUAGGCAAUUCUUGGAUCGCAUUCGAAAGUACAACCCUUUGGAUUUCUAGGAUCAGACUCUCCUUCACAAACAAAAGUUCCAUCAUCACUAAAGUACUUACAGCCCUUUUUGCCUGAACAACAGUUGGUGCAUAUCCGAUCAUUUUUCUUUUCUUCUGAACGCGGGCAAACUCGAUAGUCAAUUCUUGGAUCACAAUUUCGGGGACAAGCUUUUGAAUUUUUAGGAUCAGACUCUCCUUCACAAACAAAAGUUCCAUCAGCACUGAAGUAAUUACAACCCUUCGUGCCUGCGCAACAAUACGCGGGCAAACUCGAUAGUCAAUUCUUGGAUCACAAUUUCGGGGACAAGCUUUUGGAUUUCUAGGAUCAGACUCUCCUUCACAAACAAAAGUUCCAUCAGCACUGAAGUAAACAGUUGGUGCAUAUUUGAUUGUUCUCUUUUUCUUUUGAACGCGGGCAAACUCGAUAGUCAAUUCUUGAAUCACAAUUUCGGGGACAACCUUUUGGAUUUCUAGGAUCAGACUCUCCUUCACAAACAAAAGUUCCAUCAGCACUGAAGUAGUUACAACCCUUCGUGCCUGCGCAACAAUUGGUGCAUAUUUGAUUGUUCUCUUUUUCUUCUGAACGCGGGCAAACUCGAUAGUCAAUUCUUGGAUCACAAUUUCGGGGACAAGCUUUUGGAUUUCUAGGAUCAGACUCUCCUUCACAAACAAAAGUUCCAUCAGCACUGAAGUAGUUACAACCCUUCGUGCCUGCGCAACAGUUGGUACAUAACCGAUUAUUCUUCUUUUCUUCUGAAAGUGGGCAAAUCCCAUAGGCAAUUCUUCCAUCACAAUUCCGAGGACAUGGCUUUGGAUUUCUAGGAUCAGACUCUCCUUCACAAACAAAAGUUCCAUCAUCACUAAAGUACUUACAACCCUUUUUUCCUGCACAACAAUUGGUGCAUAUUCGAUUGUUCGUCUUUUCUUCUAAACGCGGACAAACUCCAUAAGCAAUUCUUGUAUCGCAUUCCCGAGUACAAGCCUUGGCAUGUUCCACAUUGCUUACAAGCAGAGACAUU